CCCUUAGAUGUUCUGGGCUGCACGCGCGCUACACUGAUGCGUUCAACGAGUGUAUCACCUUGCCCGAUAGGGUUGGGUAAUCUUUUGAACACGCAUCGUGAUGGGGAUAGAUUAUUGCAAUUAUUAAUCUUCAACGAGGAAUUCCUAGUAAUGAUGAAUCAUCAGUUCAUCGUGAUUACGUCCCUGCCCUUUGUACACACCGCCCGUCGCUACUACUGAUUGGGUGUUCAAGUGAGAUGCUUAGACCCUUGUUGCAUGGUUCAUUAUUGUGCUCCGAAAGGAAAAAGUUUCAAGCUUGAGUGUCUAGAGGAAGUAAAAGUCGUAACA
rnacentral:rRNA from 1 species